AUACCGAAGGCAUGUAGGCCUUCGCUAAUGUCAAUGAUGGGUUAAAUUAGAAAUUUGGGUAUUUUUGCCCCCAAUUUCAGAAUUCCCUCUAUCCCCUUCCCUCGUCUCCCCAAUUUCAGAAACUCCUCCCUCCCUUUCCCUCGUCUCCCCAAUUUCAGAAAUCUCUCUCUCCCCUUCCCUGGUCUGUUCAUUAUUGACUGGCGGUCAGUUGAUUCGACACUGUGGUUUGACGGUGUGAGUUUGGUGGUGUGGACGCUGAAGGAGGUUUGUUGCUGGGUGGCGCUCUUCCAUUUCCUACUCUCUGUUCGAUGCAGUUCGUUGGUUUGAAGCGUGGGGUUGUCGCCAAGGCAGUUUGAAGCGAUUGCUGUUGCGGACGUUGACGGUGGUUCGUUGGUGGCUGGUUUGCGGCUAGGGUUCGUCGUGUUUGGUCCUUGUGAGUGUUGAGACAAGGGUAGGGGUUGUUGGGGGUUGGCAUGUCGAGGGCGUUGAAUUGAAGUGGUGUUGGUUGAUGCAUAGUGCUCAAUUGCCACAACAAAAGGUUGAAGUAAUUAAGAAUAUAUCAGAGUAUGUGGCUCAACUGAGGAGGGUUGGAAAGGGUCACGGUGUGUGGCACUUUGAUGAAAGUCUGCUUCAUGAUGCUGCUUGAACUAGAUAGUCUUUAUAGUCUUUAUUAUUAGUUCUCAGUUUAUAUUUGCUCUUCCAUUGUCUUUGAGUUGUUUUCUUAUUUAGAAGUAGAACUUAAAUGUUUUUCCUCUGUGCUGAGGUGUAAGAACUUGUAGUGUUGUAGUGUUGUAUUGUUGUGGCAAUAAGUAUCUUAUGUAAAAGACUACAAACAUAUUAUGCAAUAUCAUUUGAUAUUUCGUUUUCAAUUGUCCUUCUCCAGUACAAAUAUUUGUAGUUAGUUUGAC